UGUCGCUUCGACGGUACACUGUAUAUACUAAAACUGUAACAGAGGAGUUUAGCAUGGCUCCUGCGCAAGUAUGACACGCAAAAUCGUACAGCGUUUCCCAUUUUC